AAAUUGAAGAGUUUGAUCAUGGCUCAGAUUGAACGCUGGCGGCAGGCCUAACACAUGCAAGUCGAACGGUAGCACAGAGAGCUUGCUCUCGGGUGACGAGUGGCGGACGGGUGAGUAAUGUCUGGGAAACUGCCCGAUGGAGGGGGAUAACUACUGGAAACGGUAGCUAAUACCGCAUAACGUCGCAAGACCAAAGUGGGGGACCUUCGGGCCUCACACCAUCGGAUGUGCCCAGAUGGGAUUAGCUAGUAGGUGGGGUAACGGCUCACCUAGGCGACGAUCCCUAGCUGGUCUGAGAGGAUGACCAGCCACACUGGAACUGAGACACGGUCCAGACUCCUACGGGAGGCAGCAGUGGGGAAUAUUGCACAAUGGGCGCAAGCCUGAUGCAGCCAUGCCGCGUGUAUGAAGAAGGCCUUCGGGUUGUAAAGUACUUUCAGCGAGGAGGAAGGCGUUGUGGUUAAUAACCACAGCGAUUGACGUUACUCGCAGAAGAAGCACCGGCUAACUCCGUGCCAGCAGCCGCGGUAAUACGGAGGGUGCAAGCGUUAAUCGGAAUUACUGGGCGUAAAGCGCACGCAGGCGGUUUGUUAAGUCAGAUGUGAAAU
rnacentral:rRNA from 1 species